GCACGAGGAAAAAACAGAGAAAAAGGGCGGCAGGGAGUGGGUGUGUCUCCCCCGUCUCCCCCGCGACCCUCAUCCGUUCUUGCCGCCGCCGGCUCCUCUCCUCUCCCCACAUCUCGUCUGCCUCCCUCUCCCUCGUCUCCUCUCUCGCACCGCCAGCCCCUUUUCUCUCUCGCCCCAGCCGUCUUUGUCCUCUCCUGCGCCGCCAGCCCCGGAUCUGGAGGAGGAAGAGGAGAACCGGGCGUCUCGGCGGUGGCUCGACCGGCGGGCACAGAGGCGUGCUUCUCCGGUGGCGGCCAACAGCGGCGUCGGCGGCGCGGGUUGAUUCACCGCCUGAAGCGACCAACGGCCAGCGAGGAAGACGACUUGAGGUGAGCCGCCACACCGGUGCUUCUGCUUGAAUCUCUUCAGCGGGGUUUCCAGCGCAGCAAGAACAUGAUGACCAAGUUCAACAGCCUCAUAUCACGCUACAUUAGGAGCUUGAGAGAGUCCGGAGGCCUUCCCAAUCCAAUGAUGCCUCAUCCUCUUCGCCACGUUGUCGCCCUGGCCACCUCUUCGCAGACCAUGGGCAGCCUGACGUGAGUGCAGUCGACGGCUGGCCACUCCAAGCACUCUACUUUCCAUCGACGCUGACAGCCACAGCGGGAUGGAUACAACCGCCAAGAUGCAGAGUGGUUGUCGACGGCGUUGGUUUGCUGCCAAGCUGCAGGUGAGAAGGUGAUGCGACGGUGAUUAGUUUAACAUUGAUUUGUUUAAUGCAUGCCAUUUUUGUUUGAGCAUCUUCAGUAUUAACUUGAGUUAAUGGCUUGUCAGUUUGCUAAUUGGAGUCUUAUGAUUGUUAGGCAGAUUGUAGAUUAGUAAAUCUUAUGUGCGUCACCAGUUAAAUCUCGAACGUUAGAGAAUGAUCCUGAUAAUGCACACUAGUUUUUCUCAUUUACAAAUAGUUUUUUUAAGGGUCACACUUACACAUGUUGUGUUCAGAUGUUAAUUGAACAUUGGGUGAAUUAAAUAUAUAUAUCUCAACUACUAUUGAUAUUCAUGGCUAAAACCAAAUUUCUUAUUUAAAUUUAUUGCCCAUGUACAUGCGGCGCUGCUUGUGGAUCUCCACAGUUCACGACAACUUUGCUGCAACUCACAAUAGAGCUCAGAUGCCACCAAAUAUUGUUGCUGAGCUGAAUAAAUGUUGAAGAAUCUUUACGGGAGAGAAAAUUGAUACCAUUCAAAUUUAUAACACUACAAACCCGAAAACACAUACACUAUUUGUUAUCCUAGAAAUUCCAUUCCUAUAAAGAAAGGACUACCAUUCAUGGGUAUGUAUGCCUUUGUAUGUUUCUACUCCUGCAUGAAAAAAUGUGUUAAUACUUGGUACUUUUCUUCUAACUGAAAUAUAGCUCCAGUUCAGAUAUUAGUUACUUUAUGACUGCUUCUUAAAUUUAGUACAUUUGUUUUUUAUGCCCUCUUUCUGGGGUUGAAAAUAUGUAAAUCGAUUCAUCUUGAGCUAGCUUGUCAUUGUGUUUCUAAAUUGAAAGGUCUGUGAUUGAUUAUAUAUUCAUCCAAACAUGUGUGUGGUCUAUUUCCUUUGCAUGCGUCAGCAUAUGUAUGUUGUUCUUACUGUCUUUACAAUGCUUAUUUUGUGAAGGACCCACUUGCCUGAUGGUGAUCGUGAUGAAAUAUUGCUUUUUUCAUACAAGUUGAUGAUACAGUUUGCACAUGGCAAAAAUAAAUAAAUUGUAACGCUAUCUAUUUUACCAGGUCGUGAGCGUGGUUGCAAAUUAUGCACUGCUCCUGCUGGUUACAAGCCUUCAUCUCUACAAAAAUAUGCAGUGAGGUUGCUUGGUUCCUGACAGGGAUUGAUGUAGUUUGCUUCCCGUCAGAGAUUGAAGUUCCUAGGAGAUUACUAUCGAGAAACUCAGAUACUGGUGGCAUCCGAUGGGACAAAUUCGGCUGGUCUCUAUCCGAGAGGAGAGAUCCGGGGAAUGUGUGUUGAGGCUCUCAUCAUGUUGGUACAUUGUGAAUGUUCCAUCAAGUUGUGGAUGGCUCUGAGGCAUGUGACACCAAUGAUAGAUACUCCUGCCGUGUCAUGAAGCAUUAAGUGCUACAAAAAUAUUUCACAGGGGUAAUUGUUUCUAUUCUUUACCAAUCUACCAUGUCAGAUGUUGUUUUAUUAUUGUUUGUUCUUCGUAGGCAUAGCCUAUUAAUUAUUCACUUGUCCGUAGGUAUGUAUCAUGGCUCUAAGUCACGCACAUGAGAUUUGAGACUUUUUUGGGGGCUAAUGAUAAAUAUUGUUGGUGAUAAGGAGUGUAUGCUUAUGUGUUGUACUUUUCAUUAUCCAAUAUAUGGUUAAUAUUUAUCAUUGUCAAAAGAGUGCACCUCGGGAUAAUGGCUGCAAAAUAUUUUUCCUAUAUUAUUAUGUACUUCAACCUUUUCAUAUUUCAAAGUGGUUGUGAGAAUGGCUAUGAAAUUGAAGAGGCGGCCAGAGGAGGUAGUGAGGGAGCUGCUCCUUCAUCCUCCCCUCCAUACUGUCGGUAAUACAUUAUUUUCUCUCAUAGAUUUAAAGUGAUUUUUUCUGUUGUUGCAAAGCAUGGUUAUUUAAAAAGCUGCAACCCAGUAACUUUGAUUUUCACAGGCUACUCUGCCUUCUGCGUCUACCUUGCUGUAUAAGAGACCAGUCAGCACUAUGUAUACCAAUGAUAACCACACACAUGAAUUCUGAUUUGUGCACAAGGAAGCUCACAAAUUUGUGUCCAUCCUUUUCGUAGUAAUCAUAUGGCUUGCAUAUUUUAUCAGACUGAUCAUAGUCACGAAGAUCAGACAGAUAAUAUUAGGUAGAGAAGAUCAGAAGAAACAUUUAUAUCAUAUUUUUUUAUGCUUUUUCUGUAGAAAAGGUACCAUGGGUUGAUUGUGUUGGAUCCCAUUACUAUAUGAUGUAUUUGACUGCUAUUCCUAAGAACUGCUCCUGGACACAGUGCUCUAUGUUGACAUGCCUUACAUUUUAUUGUGUCGCCUAUCUGUAUAUUUACUCGGAUCUUACAUUUUUGUAUUUUUGUCAAUGCAGGUGUGUUCUUCCUACUAUAAAGCAACAUGGAUUUCUUUAAAUUAAAUUGUGCAUAUUGUGGAAAAUAAAUCUUGUGUGUCUAUAGUCAUGUUCAUCUGUCACCAAUCCAUGGUGAAAUAAACAGGAGAAAACAUGCUUGCAGAAGUUGUCAAGAGGCUCCAUUUAACCAUCAAAGACCAUGAGACCUACCAAUCGAGUGAUAGAGAUGGACACAAUCUCUCCUUGUGGAAGAACAAUGUAUCAAUUGCCAACAAAUCCAAACAUUUCAUCCUAUCUUACCAUGUAGUACUAACAUAACUGCAAUGUAUCGCUUGUGUCAAAAACUAUUUGAAUCGCGUAUAUGGCUAUCUAUGAUAUCAAAU